UGGCAAUGAUGAAUCAAAGGCCGGACUUACGGCUGCUUCCGUUCGGACGGUAGUAGAUUGACGAUAUGUCUGCAGUAAGGUGUUUUUCUUGAGCCAG
rfam:Cucumis melo, WGS project CAJI01000000 data, contig: 00107